UCAUUCAACUGAAGGCCCUAAAUUCUAAUGAACUGCUUUGAUCAAAACCCGGUCUUUCACAGACUCCAGAAUGUCAUUUCAAUGGUCUGAGGUUUGCCUGCAUUUCAACUCUACCAUACCACAUCAGACAUCUACACAUCAUGUUUCAGGUCCCAUGAUAGUGUUUUAUAGUCCAAAAUUUGAAAAUGAUGCCCAGCACACUCCAGCAGUGGUUCCCUUUAGUAU